rnacentral:misc_RNA from 1 species
CGGCAAAUAAUGGAACACGUCAACCGAACAACAAAGCUUCCCCAGCAGCUAAUUUCGGCCAAUACCAACUCCGAGGCACGCAAACAGCAAAUAAUGGAGC